UUGAUUCUCACGACGUCUCUCUUCUCUUACCCAUCUCUCUCCUUUUUUUACGCUCAAAAGGAAAAGAGAAAUCCUCCCUUCUCACGGCCACCGCGUGGUGGCUCCGCCGAUGAGAUUUGAUGAUGAGAGAGAGUAGUUAAAAUAGUGGGGAGCGUGACGGGGGCGAGUGGCCGGCGUCGCGGAGCUUCAGUGGCGGUGUGCUCUGGCGGAGGCGGAAAAAACUGAUGGAAACCCUAGGGUUUAAAAAAAAACCCCAAAAUACCUGGGCCAAGGGUUUGUAAAAUUAGACCGGUUUUAAAUCCUAACGAUUGCGAAUGGAAUAAAAUGAGUUUUGAAA